GCGGAUUAAUGUAACAGUAACAUAUUUGACUCAUGAUCAGAGAACGUGGGUGCAACUCCCUCAUCCGCA
rnacentral:tRNA from 1 species